UUAAAUAAAUUGUCUCAACCAAGACGCCGCCGUUUUGUUUGAUUUUAUUUUUUUGGUAAAAAUUACUGAAAAAAUGCUUCAGUUUGUGCUCUUCUUCGGACCCACAACUGCAAGUACAUCAAUUUCCCAAAAGUUCUAAAACCCUAAACCUGCCCCAUCAGACACCCACAACCCCCUGAUUCCACCAAAUCCAAUCCCUAAUUUCCCCAAAUUCCAAGAACGUUUCAGCCCCACUCCCACCCGAAUCCACGAGAAAGCAACCCGCCACCGCCGCAACUACCACCUCUCCACGCAGAUGUAGAAGGCGACGACGAGAACGUAAAACAGCUCAACCAAUGCUCUGCUUUCUACCUCUCCUUACAGAAGUUCAGGCCUUGAAAGCAUGCAAUGAGAGGAGGAAGAAAUGACAGGGGAAAGUCAGAUCAUAGCAAAAGAUGCGCUGCAAUCAAGAUUUCCCGAUUUGUAUCAAUUUUUGACCGGAUUUAUAAAUGAAAUUGUUACCAUUUCUUGA